rnacentral:rRNA from 1 species
AUACGUAGGGGGCGAGCGUUGUCCGGAAUGAUUGGGCGUAAAGGGCGCGUAGGCGGCGCGGUAAGUCUGGAGUGAAAGUCCUGCUUUCAAGGUGGGAAUUGCUUUGGAUACUGCAGUGCUAGAGUGCGGAAGAGGUAAGUGGAAUUCCCAGUGUAGCGGUGAAAUGCGUAGAGAUUGGGAGGAACACCAGUGGCGAAGGCGACUUACUGGACUGUAACUGACGCUGAGGCGCGAAAGUGUGGGGAGCAAACAGGAUUAGAUACCCUGGUAGUCCACACUGUAAACGAUGAAUGCUAGGUGUAGGGGGUAUCGACCCCUUCUGUGCCGCAGUCAACACAAUAAGCAUUCCGCCUGGGGAGUACGGCCGCAAGGUUGAAACUCAAAUGAAUUGGCGGGG